GGACUGUAGCUCAGUGGCAAAGCGCUUGCCUAGCAUGCUUGAGGCUCUGGGUUCAAUCCUCAGCACCA
rnacentral:tRNA from 1 species